rnacentral:rRNA from 1 species
CAAGGAUUCCCUAGUAACUGCGAGUGAAGCGGGAAAAGCUCAAAUUUAAAAUCUGGCAGCUUAGGUUGUCCGAGUUGUAAUCUGGAGAAGCGUUUUCCGUGCCGGACCGUGUACAAGUCUCUUGGAACAGAGCGUCAUAGAGGGUGAGAAUCCCGUCCAUGACACGGACCGCCGGUGCUAUGUGAUACGCUCUCGAAGAGUCGAGUUGUUUGGGAAUGCAGCUCAAAUUGGGUGGUAAAUUCCAUCUAAAGCUAAAUAUUGGCGAGAGACCGAUAGCGAACAAGUACCGUGAGGGAAAGAUGAAAAGCACUUUGGAAAGAGAGUUAAACAGUACGUGAAAUUGUUGAAAGGGAAACGCUUGAAGUCAGUCGCGUUGUGCGGAGCUCAGCCCUGCUCUUUUGCUGGGUGUACUCUCCGUAUCGACGGGUCAACGUCAAUUUUGACCGGCAGAGAAGGGGCCGUUUGAAUGUAGCGUCGUUUCGGCGACGUGUUAUAGCUUUCGGUCGUAUGUGUCGGUUGGGAUUGAGGACCGCAGCACGCCCUUGUGGCCGGGGGUUCGCCCUACGUUUCGUGCUUAGGAUGUUGGCAAAAUGGCUUUAAGCGACCCGUCUUGAAACACGGACCAAGGAGUCUAACAUGCUUGCGAGUGUUAGGGUGGAAAACCCUUGCGCGCAAUGAAAGUGAAAGUUGAGAACCUCCGCAAGGGGGUGCACCGACGCCCGGCCCUGAAGAUCUCUGAUGGUGCUGAGGUUGAGCACGUAUGUUGGGACCCGAAAGAUGGUGAACUAUGCCUGAAUAGGGUGAAGCCAGAGGAAACUCUGGUGGAGGCUCGUAGCGAUUCUGACGUGCAAAUCGAUCGUCAAAUUUGGG